GUCGAACGAAGUAGCAAUACUUAGUGGCAGACGGGUGAGUAACAUGUAGGUAUCUGCCCUUUGGCCUGGAAUAACACGAGGAAACUUGUGCUAAUACCGGAUAAGUCUUUACGGAGAAAGCUUUAUGCACCAUUGGAUGAGCCUGCACUUGAUUAGUUUGUUGGUGGGGUAAUGGCCUACCAAGACUGUGAUCAAUAGCUGAUUUGAGAGGAUGAUCAGCCACAUUGGGACUGAGACACGGCCCAAACUACUACGGGAGGCAGCAGUGGGGAAUCUUGCACAAUGGAGGAAACUCUGAUGCAGCGAUGCCGCGUGAGUGAAGAAGGCCCUUGGGUUGUAAAGCUCUUUCGUCGGGGAAGAAAAUGACUGUACCCGAAUAAGAAGGUCCGGCUAACUUCGUGCCAGCAGCCGCGGUAAUACGAAGGGACCUAGCGUAGUUCGGAAUUACUGGGCUUAAAGAGUUCGUAGGUGGUUGAAAAAGUUAGUGGUGAAAUCCCAGAGCUUAACUCUGGAACUGCCAUUAAAACUUUUCAGCUAGAGUGUGAUAGAGGAAAGCAGAAUUUCUAGUGUAGAGGUGAAAUUCGUAGAUAUUAGAAAGAAUACCAAUUGCGAAGGCAGCUUUCUGGAUCAUUACUGACACUGAGGAACGAAAGCAUGGGUAGCGAAGAGGAUUAGAUACCCUCGUAGUCCAUGCCGUAAACGAUGUGUGUUAGACGUUGGAAAUUUACUUUCAGUGUCGCAGCGAAAGCGAUAAACACACCGCCUGGGGAGUACGACCGCAAGGUUAAUACUCAAAUGAAUUGACGGGGACCCGCACAAGUAGUGGAGCAUGUGGU
rnacentral:rRNA from 1 species